AUGGGUGGCUAUGGAUCAUCAUCAAUAACGCACUCUCAGAGGAAAGCCAGCACUGGGGCUACAGGUAGCUUUGGGAACAUGUCCUUAGAAUCUCUUCUAAAGUGCAUACAAGAGCUGGACAUGGAUGACACACAACGCAGACGGAUGGAAAUAUUCUCGUCCAGAAACAGCAGAUUGGUGAACUGAAUGCAGAUGACUUUGAGAAACUCGGGGAGCUUGGAGCCGGAAAUGGAGGCGUAGUCAACAAAGAAAAGCACAAACCCACAGGACUGUCAAUGGCUCGUAAGCUUAUACAUUUAGAAGUGAAGCCAGCAGUUAGAAACCAGAUAAUUCGUGAAUUGAAAGUACUUCAUGAGUGUAACUCUCCAUUUAUUGUUGGAUUCUAUGGAGCUUUUUACAGUGAAGGUGAAAUUUCAAUUUGUAUGGAGUAUAUGGAUGGUGGGUCACUUGAUCUUUGCUUGAAGAAAGCUAUACGCAUCCCAGAGCCAAUCUUAGGGAAAAUAUGUUCAACAGUCCUUAAGGGUUUAGCAUAUCUUCGAGAAAAACACCAGAUAAUCCAUAGAGACGUAAAGCCUUCCAAUAUUUUGGUCAAUUCUCGUGGGGAGAUUAAGAUUUGUGACUUCGGUGUGUCAGGACAACUUAUUGAUAGUAUGGCCAACACCUUUGUGGGAACUAGAAGCUAUAUGUCGCCAGAACGAUUAAACGGUGACCACUACUCUGUUGCCAGCGAUAUAUGGAGUUUAGGGUUGUCUCUUGUAGAAAUGGCUAUUGGAAUGUAUCCCAUCCCACCACCAGACCCUGCCACUCUACAGAAAAUCUUUGGACAGAAGGUCGAGGAGUGAGUCCGUCGCCAACGUCAAGGUCACCAAGGUCGGCUGGACUACCAGGAGAACCACGACCAAUGGCAUAUUUGAGCUGCUGGACUACAUUGUGAACGAACCGCCUCCGCGCUGCCACCUGGGGUAUUUUCUCCAGAAUUCGUAGACUUGGUUGAUCGAUGCCUUAAAAAGAGCCCCAACGAGAGAGCAGAUCUAACCACUUUGCAGAAUCAUGAAUGGAUAAACGUGCAGAAAGAGAAAAUGUUGAUAUAGCUGGUUGGGUGUGCAAGACAAUGGACAUCACACCUUCUACUCCGACUAAGCCAUCAGCUGAGGGCAAUAGUUAAAAAGUUAUGAAGAGUGCUACACAUAUUCUGCUGGCUGGAGGAGCACCAGAACGACCUUAAACCCUUUUACUCUAUGUGAUGUAUAAAUCAUAAUUUAAUCGUUCCAAAUGGAUAAUAGUGUUGUUUAUUGUAUGUCCAAAUUAAUGUGCAACUAGUCCCGGUGACUUGCUAUUUUUGGGCUGAAGACCACAUCAUUCUUGAGUAGUGAUAAAGAAACUGUCAUUCAUAAGAGUGAAGUAAACUGUAUAUUAUUGCUUAUUAGCAAUGACAGAAACUAUAGUGUUUGAAAGUAGUGAUGGAGGAAACUCAGAUAUAUAUUUUAUGAUUGUAUUGUAUAUCAUCUGAAGUUUAAGAAAAACUUGCAUGAGAAUUUUUAGAGUACACAGAUAUUGUGUUCAAGAUAGCACAAGAACAAGUUUAUACAAAAGAUUACCAUUUUGUAGAAACCAUAGUGUAUCUUCCUUAUUACGAGUAGGAGUAAGUAGUUAAUUUAAAAUAUCAAAGGUUAAGUUAGGGAAAAUUUUAUACCACUGGUUGGUUCUCCCAGACUUGUUAGUUCACAGACUUUAUUGUAGGUAUAUGAAAUAGGUCUUGGCUUAAUACUCACUGAAUGUUUAGACCUCUUCAACAUGUGAGAGAUGGUUCAUGAGCUUGUAAAGACUGAAUUAGGAAGUAUGAUAUGGUCAAACCCGAGUGUUUGAAUAGUUAGGUUAAAAAAAAAGAAGCUUUAAGUAUAGACAGAGUCAAUAUGUUGAUCACUUACUGAACUAACAGACUUCACUACUCAAGAUAUGCCUUGGAAAUCAGACCAAUUACCUUGUGCAAUCCAUUUUAUGCUGUAUAUUGUAGAGUAAUGUGGGAAUGUUGGAUGCAUUGAUGUCAGAGUUUAUGCAUCUCAUUCACAAUGUUUCUCUUUUAUGGGAUAGUGUUUUCAAUUUAAACUCUGCAGAGUGGUUGUGCAGGACAAUUAUUAUUUCUGUCAUCUGUGGGCUCCUCUAGGAAAUUGUUGGCAUGACCAAGGAGUCCAUUGGAUAAUUUUAUUGAGUCAUAUAGAGGCUUUGAAAGUUUUUUUUUUUUUUUUUUUCUCUGAAAUAUUCGCAAAUGGUGAAAUAUGCAUUUAUUAAUUGUAUAAUUCUGUUGAUUUCAUAAUAUAUUGUGGGUCUAAUUAAUUGCCAUUGAAUAGGGUUUCAUUAGGGCAACAAUUUUCAUUACUGCAUGCACAGGAUUCUGAAGUCCGUAUUGAGAAGGAUCAAGUUUGGCUUCCAAAUAUACCAAAGUUUAUAUUUUAGUCAAAAAUGUAAAUAAUAAGGUGAAAUGCUUUUUUUUUUUGCAGUAUACAGUUUUCUAGUUCCAUAGCAAUUACAUGCCAAGAUAUUAGGUAGAAACAUGCAUUCCUUGCUGUGCAUAUAUUGAAUUAAUAAUUUUGACAACAAUAAGAAUUCUUUUUAAUUCAUAUGGUCAGAUUAUGCAAAUCAUACUGGCUGUCAUUAUUAUAAUCCAUAUACCAGUUUAUAGAUUUGAAAAUGUCAUUUAUUAUCUGUAAAUUUUGAUAACAGACUAAAUCAUUUUUUAUUUUUUUAUGUUACUGAUACUGAAAAUAUUGGAAAAAAAAUGUAAUUGAAAGUUGCUAGGUCAAAUAUAUGCAUAUGUCCUAGAAGUAAAUGGAACAUUUGAUAAUUAAUGGUAAUUUAGAUAUUGGAAGAGGGUGCAUCGAGAUGAGCAAAAGAGGUUGGAUAUAAUGGAAACUGGAAACCAUUGUUGAGUGUAUCAAGAACAAGAAACAGUCACUGGGUGUUUAGUAAUAGAGUCUUUUGUUACCUAAUAGGUGUUAACUUAUGUUAUAAGAAUCAGCAAAAAUAAAUAAAAAUAAUAAAAAAAACAUUAAAAAAUAAAAAAAAAGUAAGAUUCAAAACUGUAUUUAUAAAUUAACAAUAAAUUCAAAUCACAAAUCUGUGAUAUUCUCACUGUUUCUUAAUAUUUUGAUACCCUGGUGCAGUUUGCCAAAAUGGAAGCUUAACCUUGAUAUCCUUAAAUUAACCCUUUUGGCAAUUUCUUCAGGUAUAGUAAUUCGUGUUUAUGCAUUAUAACAAGACAAAGGUUCAUCCAAAUUUUAACAUGCACUGAAGAGUUGUCUUGAAUACUGUAACAGCUUGCAUUUGGAGCUGCCUAGGUAAAAAGCUAGCAUUUAAUGUAUUCAUAUAUUUUGCAAUUUUAGAAUAUGUAAAAUUAUUUGUGCAUGUUCCAAAGGGCAUACAAAACUACUCAGAAAAUGAGGUUACUAUUUGUAUGAAGUUUAUUAAAGUCUGUGAUUGAG